rnacentral:rRNA from 1 species
CUUGACUGUAGCUUGGAAUUGGGUUCGGGCUCUUCUUGCGCAGCCUAGGUGGGAGGCGUUGAAAGCUUUCUUUUGGGGAAGCUGGAGCCAUCAGUGAGAGACCACUCUGGAGGAGCUAGAAUUCUAAUGGCGUUCCUUGAAGCAGGACGCUUGACAGUUUCAGGUGGGCAGUUUGACUGGGGCGGUCACCUCCUAAAAGGUAACGGAGGUGUGCAAAGGUUCCCUCAGGCUGGACGGAAAUCAGCCGUAGAGUGUAAAGGCAGAAGGGAGCUUGACUGCAAGACUUACAAGUCGAGCAGGGGCGAAAGCCGGCCUUAGUGAUCCGACGGUACCGUGUGGAAGGGCCGUCGCUCAACGGAUAAAAGUUA